ACAAAAGGGGGCGCCAAUGCAAUCUAUUUUAGCUUAUAAGAAACCGAAACCGCCAUAUACGGCCCGCAAUGUCUUUUAGUACAUUUUAGCUGGCUCAUUUUAGACUCGAUCAUUUUAAAAAUGUUUUUAAAAAAAUAUUUAAAAUGUAACUUAAGUCACGUAAAGAUUGCUUUCAGUUUAUAAUGCUAGUACUAUCUCCAACCAGGAGAGGUCGCUAGUUUCCAGCCGCUCCCCGUAUUAACUUCAGUGUAGUAGGACAUGCACUUUAAUGUAAACAUUCACUUAACAUUAGCAAAUAAUAAAUGAAAACUGACCAUUAAAUCAGCAUUUUCCAGUCAAGAUGGUAAUCAGAUUAUCUUUUUACCAAGUUCAAGGGGAUACUUAUUUUUAUUUUUUUCAAGGGAUACUUACAGAUACUUUAGAAAUCUAUUAUUUAAAUCGUAAAUCGUCAUCACAGCACUACGCACAUACAACGACAGAGACGACAGAGUUGCACUUGCUUCAAAUUUCAAAGGUGUGUGUUGCUGGCCUCUUUGCUUUAUAGGCUGGAGUCUCACAUGGACACCUCAGAGGACAGCACUUUUCUACAGGACAUGCUCAUGGGCAAUACUCUGCAUCUGCUUUUUAAGGUCUAUGACAGGCUUCAGCAGUCCAGCGGCCUGCUCCACUGUUGGAUAACACACAGGGCCUGGCUCAGGACGUAAGUUUUCCUCUGAGGCAUCUAGUGGUUUUUCUCCAGAACAGAAUGAUCAGACAAUCCAGUAGAGCUGGGACGGGAUUCAGUUGAAUGACCUUUAGUCUGUUUAGUGUUGUCGGGUUGAAGUGUACUGGAAGGGAUUACUUGUGAACACCCCAGUGUCACAUAAAUAUAUGUGCAGCCUCACAGACACUUAUUUAUUGUAUUUUUUAUUAUUAUUUUUUUUUUAAUCUGGCAACUCCUAUCUAUAUUCAAGGCCAACAUUUUUGAGUAUAAAUUCCCAGAAUGACCCAGUUUUUCCCUAAACUCUGUAAAACGACAGUGUAUAAUUUCUGCACCACCAGCAUGACAAACUGGAAAUUAAUUAUUGUAGUAAUUAUUGUUUCAAACAAGCUUCCUGAACAACCCUACCCUUCUGCAAAGGGUAAUGGGGUGUGCGAAAUGAAGAUUUUUUUUAUUGUGGAUGAUAAAACAUGUUUCCAUGAUCUGCUUUUUUUUUUGCACAUUCUAUCAGCUGCAGCCUGCAGUUCUGGGGCCGCCGAAUCAAUCUACUGUCCAAUGCAACAUAUAUUAACAUCAGUGUUAACUCAGUGGUAGAGUUACUCUCACGGGACACUGCAUUUAUUAACAAUCACAAAAGUAAAUUUUUUGCAUCUUCUUUCAAGCCUUACGUUUAAA